UCUGUCUUAGCUAACAGCUUCAACUUCUUUGAGGGGAGGGCUAGGCUGGGUGUCUAUCUCUUCUAACUGUGGGUGCCCUAUCUAUGAAGUCUCAUUUGAUCACUAAAUUGCUGCUACCUCUUCUAUGCAACCAUUCUAUUAAGUAGGCUGAAUUCCCAGUAGGCAGAAGAAAAGGCUCAGCUAUAAUAUGCCUAAUGCACUUUGAAAAGUUUUUCAAAGUGGAGUCUAUUAAAUUGGGUUCUAGCCCAGAUCUACUAAUUCAGAUUUUUAGGGUAGAGCUUAAGAAUCUGCAUUUUAAAUAUUCUUCCUGAGUGAUUCUCUUUAUUUUAAAUAAAUUCUCCAGUGAUUGAGAAUCACGGACUUGGGAACCUCAGCUUUAACAAUUUCACAUCUGGUAACCCUCCUGGUUAGGGUUUCAGGGGAAUAACUAGUAGCUCAACUUUACAGGAAGAUUGUGACAUGGAGACUUUUUUUUUCCUUUUUUAGCUUUACCUGCUUUUCUUCGGGACACCACUAGAUGAAGCCAGUAGCCUACUUCUAUUUCAUCUAUCAUUAUAUGCUUGAUUAAAGAGACUGGAAACAAAUUAUCUUAGUUAAACUGAAUGGUAAACUUUGUGUACAGUUUCCUUGGUGAACUGACCUUUUGGGCCAGUCUGAUGAUAUACAAAGGCCUGACCUGAUUUCUGACAAUGCUUAACCUUCCUAGUACAUAAUCAGGCCAAAUUAUUGACCCAGUAGCACCACUUAACAUAAAGGGGCUUAAGCUAAACAGGAAAAUGACAAUCAAGACUUAAAUUUUGAGUAAGUAGGAUUUGCAAUCAGAGUUUCAAAUGAAAACAAGAUGUCAGCUAUCCCAGAAUCUGAUUUUCAACUCCUCCUAGUGUUAGGUGAUUUUAUUUACCAGUGCUUACAUUUCCAUUUGAAUGUAGAACAAUCCUUCAUAUCUAUAGAUGUUAAAUGUUAUAAAUAUGUUGCUAUCAUGACAUGGCUCAAAAUAAAAUCUAUUUCUCCAUUUCUUUUUUUCAGUUGUUUGGCAGGCAGGGGUGGUAUAGAAGCCAUGGACCACCAUGUAACCUAAGGAGAAACUACAGUUUGAAGACAACUAGAAUUCCACUCUUUAACAAAGAAAAUAAGGGCAAACCUGACAGUCUCAAAACGUACAAAAUGGAAAGAAGAAAAGCAAAGUUAUUAAUAAAUGGAACAUAAGGUUUGUAGUGUGCAUCCAUAUGUAUUCGUAAAUUUUUACAUGUUGGCUUUUAUUUUUGAAACAAAAAGUAUUCACCAAAACUAAAAUCAAAACUUCUGGGAAUAAUAACUAUUUCAACUAUCAACAUUUAUGAGAAUGUAAAAUAAUGAUAAACAUCUUCAAUCCUGUACUACAUUAUGCGCUUCAGAUACAUUAAACUGUUUUCCAGUUCCUUUCAACAAA